rnacentral:lncRNA from 1 species
AAUACAGCUUUCUGGGAUCGGGAAGCUGAUCUGUUUUGCAGUCUGCUGAAUCUGCAAUGUUUCAAAUAGUGCCUAGUGCAUAUGAUAUCAGGAUCCAAAGCAACCCCGUUGGAGCCAAAGAUGGAAAUCCUGUGUUGAGAAAGACGAGCCGCCUUGUCAGCUGUGAACAGUUUACUUCUGGGUUAUUACAUGGAGAAAAAUAAACUCCCAUCUUGUUUAAACCAUUAUAUGUGGGGCUUUCUUAGUUACAACAGCUAGGCCAGUACCCUAUGCCUAACAGAAGUUUUUAAGUCUUUUUCAGCAAC